rnacentral:rRNA from 1 species
UACGUAGGGGGGCAAGCGUUUGUCCGGAUUUAUUGGGCGUAAAGAGCGUGUAGGCGGCUAGAUAGGUCCGUUGUGAAAACUCGAGGCUCAACCUCGAGACGUCGAUGGAAACCAUCUGGCUAGAGUCCGGAAGAGGAGAGUGGAAUUCCUGGUGUAGCGGUGGAAUGCGCAGAUAUCAGGAGGAACACCAAUAGCGAAGGCAGCUCGCUGGGACGUUACUGACACUAAGGCGCGAAAGCGUGGGGAGCGAACAGG